CAGGGUCAGAGGUGCCGCUGCCGAGGUCCCGGUGACUCGCAGAAGGGAAGGCUGGGCCAGGCUCUGUGUGGGCGGCGGGCGGGCACCUCAGCAGCGCCUACCCGGGCGCCGGCCAGGCGGAGAGGAGGCCGCCGCACUUUCCCCCAGCCCCGGCCUGGGCCCCAUUGGGCGCCCCCAAGCCCCGGGCCCUAGGUCAGGCGCGCCUCCCCGCCCUCGACCGCGUCACCUUCCAGGUGCCCAGGCCCACGGCUGGGAUAUCUCCCAUGGCCGCCACCGCCCCCGCCCCCGCCCCGCGCGGGACUACCAACGGACACCGAGCGAGUUACCACAGCGUUGGCGACGAAGGGCGGCUGCGAUUGGCUGAAAGUGCCUUGUGACGGCUGACACGCUGACAAUGGCUGGAGGCACGAACGCCAGGCUUCCUCACUGGCUGCUGGCUUCGAGUGGCGGGCACUCUGAUUGGCUGGUUUUUAUCAAAGACAGGCAUCCUGAUUGGCUGAAGGCACAGAGCCAGCGGGAGCCCCACAUGGCUGGAGGCACUCACUCUGGACAUUCUGAUUGGCUGCGGGGGCACGGACAACGGACUUUCCAAUUGGCUUGCCGAGCCACGCAGGGGCGGGGAAGGUUUUCCAGUUGAGUGGCAGUGCCGCUCAGGUCCCUGUAGGCUGGACCGCCUGGGUGCCUUCUCCUUCACGCAGGGUGCACACGCAACUGAGAUAUGGCUGAUGACAUUUUUCUCCUUGUGGUGGAUAAAGAACAAGCACAAGAAAAACCAUUUCCAGGCUGUGAUCUCACAGUGGCUUGUGGGGCAAGCAUAUAAAUAAGAAUGCAGAACAGAGGUACACUGAGAUAUCCAAGACUUUGCGGCCAGUUCAAGAAAAGCCAAACUGAGGCUGUGGUUGCUGGGAGUCAGAAUGGAGAGCCUCUCCAUUCAGUCACCUGCCUGUGAUUUUAGUGGGAUUUGUGGAAGGAGCAGACAUAGACUUGAAUCAUUCAAUGAAGAAACAUGAAGCAUGUGCUCAAGAAUGUGGAGGCCACACUACUGUUAGAAGCAUGGUCCCCGCUCAGUACUCUGUGAAGAAAAUCCCAUGACAAAGGAUUGGCUUGACUAACACUUCCAACUAAUGAUUAGCUCUUCUUUGCAAGGUUAUUUAAGAGUGGAUAAAUAUGACUUUGGGGAAGGUGGAAUAUUUCAUUUGUAUUUUUUGGUGAACAAACCAUUUUUGAGUUUCUACUUUCUUCUUAAGUAAAUAGCUAUCUUUAUUGUGGAUUAACAUGGACCUGGAAAGAAGGCAGGACCCGGAUUUCUACCAUUGUUUUGAGAAUGGAUAUUGGCAGGUUUUCUCAAGCCACCUCUCCUCCAACCCUCCUUGACACCCUUUGUCCUGAAAUCUAGCUCUGCAGACAUAGUUAUGGUGGCGGAGUGGUACAUAUUCUCAGAGGAUAGGAAGUUUACAGAGAAGAGGGGAAUGAAACCCACAUCCAGAGACAGAAUUACCUGAAACUUUAACAUCCAGGGACUCUUAUUAGAUAAAUUCCUCCAAAAUCUUGGGAGAGGCUUCCUCCAUGGCAUUAUGUUUUAUAAGUUAUGUUUUAUGAAUGGCUGCUUUUUAUAGAAAUGUACUUAAUGAAGAAGAGAAAAUCUGAUUCAAAACCUGAAGAAUGGAUGAGUCACAUGCCUAUUUCCUACUCUGUCCAGUGCUCCUUUCUUCACUGGAAAUUUCUUAGCCAAAAGCAUCAUUUGGAAGAAGCAAAGACAAUCCUAUCUAAAUGGAUGUGUGCAGAGAGGACAUUCUAUUUACGAAGAAUUUAUUUCCUGCUUCCUGUAGAUGGAGCUAAACCCUUAAGCAUAUGUUUACAUGUGUUGGAAUUCCUGGGAAGGUCUUUGAAAGACAGUAAUAAUGCUGCUGCUGAAGGCUUUUGAUUCCUUUGACAAUAAGUGGGGCCACAAUGUGCACAAUUUGGUGCCAAAGAAAGUUUGUCGGCAGAAUUCUGUACCUGCCUUCUAGUCUCCGCAGAGAGCAGAAUUCUGUACCUGCCCUCUAGUCUCUGCAGACAGCAGAAUUCUGUACCUGCCUUCUAGUCUCCGCAGAGAGCAGAAUUCUGUACCUGCCCUCUAGUCUCUGCAGACAGCAGAAUUCUGUACCUGCCUUCUAGUCUCCGCAGAGAGCAGAGAAUUUGUUGUUGAAUAGAAAUGGCCAACAGUGUUACUAUUGCUGUAUUUUGCAUUUUAUCUAAGGUCGUAUUCAACUUAUUUUUUUCCCAUAAAAAAUUAAACUGUUAAACGGCCUAUUAUCCAUUGUGCUUUUUACACGGGUGUUUCCUGGACUUGUCUGUUGCUCAGUGCGAUUGAAUGACCAUGUAUGACAAAUAGUAAUGAGCUCAUAGUAUUUCCCUUAGUCAGUUAAUAAACACUGCAUGUCUUUGCAAGAAGAGACGCACUUUAUUACUUCCCCAUAUGGUUUCAAAGGGAUGUGAGAGCACAAUGAGUCAGGCCAACAGGAAGCUUAAAAAAAGAAACAGAAAAAGAAAAGUUUUUAAAGAAUUCUAUUGUGUUCCUACCACGUUGCUCAUAGCACUAUAUUUGUUUAUUAAUUCUCAAAAUGGGCAAAGAAAUUUUAUACUUUAAUAAGAAAAGAAAAAGACAAAUAAUAUUUCAGGGAGUUUAAAUGUCAAUAUUUAUAUGGAAAACAAUUUUAUUAAGUGAAUUCACCCAUGUCUUAAGUGCUUCUUGGUAUAUCCAAGAGAGCAUUAAAUGCAUGUUACUUCUUAAAAAAAAAAAUGACCCUUAAAAAGUUUUAAAGAUAUUUUUCUAUUUUUUUUUCCAUUCAGCUUCCAUUUUUGUAACUAGUACACUAAUUCACAGGCAAAGUAAAAACAGAUUAUAACACAAAAUAUUAUUUUGAGCUAUUUUGAUUGUUUUUGAACUUCAUAAUUAUUUGAAGUCAAGAAGCAAGAAAUGCUGGAAUCAAAGUUAAUUUCAGGCUCUAUAUUUUUAAGCUGUAUAUUAAAAUCUCUCUCACCCUAUGUAUACUUUAAUUUUUUAAAAUUCUGACAUUUUCAAAAAUCAAGUAUAAAUUUUAUCUGGAUUAAUACAUAAAUUUGUACAUUGAGUUAAUUUAGUCAUACAUGAGCUUUACAUUUAUAUUCCAAGUAAUUUUCAGAAACAUUGGAGUACUCAGUUUUGUAGGCUGGUUAGCAUUUUGUGUAUCAUUUACUAUUAGUUUUUAGAGUUAGAGGAUUAAUGAAAAGAAAUAUUGGUACUAAAUUGGCAAGUUCUGAAAUCUGUGGUUUCCAAGUCAACAUUCAGGAUUAUUCUUUUAAAAAAAUAGUUAAAUUUUCUCAGUGUUACAUUUACUAUAUUACAAAUAGUGCCUUGUUUUGAUUUGUUAGGAAGACAUUAAUGGCAUAUUCUUUUUUAUGCAGUUUUCUUAAGACUCCAUUAAAACAAAUGGCUUUCCGGUCUGUGUUCCCUUCCAGGUCAGCUAACAAUUUUAUAUUGAUUUGCAAAAGAGACUCCAUUAUAAAAACCUUCUGUAAUUAUCUAAAUUCCAUGUGUUUAGGAAGCUUUUGAAGCAUCCAGGAAUAAGCCAAUUUCCUUAAUGGUGAGAAAGAAUUGUAUGGUGGAUAGAAUAAAUGCUUGUCUACUUACUUAGGCUUGUGUAUAAGUCUGUAAGUAUAUGAUUUGCCAAUUUAAAAAAAUAGUAAAAAUUCUAAUCUUCAUUGGUAAUGUUUUCUACAUAAAAAAGCAAACCAUUAGCAAUUAUAGUUCUAUUUCUUAGUAAUAAUACUGCCAAUCAGCUAUCUUGAAGAUGGAACAGGAAAACCAGACUUAUAUUCAAUGUGAUAAGGAAACCUGAAUUCAUUUUAUAUACUCUAAAGUUAUUAAUAAGUAACCAUAAGAAUAGAUUAAAUAGAUUUGUAAAGAUCAUUGAAAAAGUCCCUAACUUUGCCUACAUACCUAUAGCACAUUUACACUUUAAUAUUUUAAUAUCAAUAUGCCUUCUUAUGAGUUGUGUGUUUGCAAACUGACCAUGUUUUUAAAUUUGUUAUUUCAAAUUCCCCUUUGUUUAGGACUCUUGAAAGCACACAGGACUAACUGAGUUAGGACAAUGGGCUUCCACUGUCCCCGUGGCUGUUGCCUUAUUUAAUAAGGCCUGGCUUGUGCAGUCACCAGUUGGAUUGGAUUAUGUUCUUCCUGACAUUUCCAUUCACUCUGUUGCCCAGCCCUGAUAUGUUAAGCAAGAUGAGAUAUCCUGGGGCCAGGAUGAUUUUCCUUUUAAAGCAUUCUCAUCAGAUUUAAAUAUUUACUGCUUUCCCCCAUGUCAAAGUCAAUUAAAUAUUUUCUCAUAGGAUUUAUGAGAGCCAAAAUGCAAUCUGGAAAGGAACACAUCCAAACCCACUGACUCAAUUGUAGACUGAGAAAUGAAAAUGUGGAUUUCACUGGAGUGUUCUGGCAUGGCAGUUUAGUUAACUUUAGGAAGCCUGGAAUGUGGCCCUAGGAAGGAAAAUCCUUGAGCAUUGAGGGGCCCCCUUAAUGAAUUUCUCCAUUUCUCUAUGAUCUUUCCUUUAGUUCCAUAGCCCCCACCUAAGUAGAGCGUGAGGUCGGUGGGAAUAAGGAAAGACAUAAAGCAAACGAUGCUGUCAGCUGUCCAAAUUGUAUAACCUUAUUCAUGCUGAUAACGUACUGCAGGGACAUUCAAAAAUGAGUCUGCAUUUCCUGAGCAUAUCCUACCUCACCUUUGCUGUGAAUAAAUCACAGACUGUCCUAGAUUCCAGAACUCCCAGCCAGCGAAGCUGGCAUUCCAAGAGAAUCCCCUGAUUCUUUUUGGCAAAACUCAGUCAAGAACAUAUUGUCGGUUCUUCAUGGGCUCAACUAACUGUGGAUUCCAUUCACAAUCACUUUGCUUUGCGUGUCGUGUACACUUAUGACUGUUGUGUUUAUCAGCAGUUCCAGAGUGCAGCUGCGAGGUUGCUUCCAAAUAUUACAAUAUGGUUACACAAUGUUUGUAGAAUUUGGAAUCCAUUAUUCUCAUAUUCAAGGACAGGUUUCAGAUUUCAGCACUGAAAGAUGUCUUCCCAGCUCUUUCAUUGCUUUCAGGGCACUCAGCUCACAUGGCCAGAGACAAGAACUGUGCAGCCUCCACAGCCACCUAAACCAUACACUUUCUAGAGGACUCUAUGAAAGCCUGUUUCAUGUGCAGCAGGAUGGAAGAAUACAGAUAACUUUUUCAAUACUAGAACCAUAAAAAGUCACUGAAACUAUAUUACCUUUUUGUUUAUCCUAAAAGAGACAAAUAUUCACCCUAUCUAGAAACCGAGAACAUCUUCAAAUGCACCUCUGUGUUGUUGAAAAAGGCAUGAUUUGGGGAACUUUAAAGAUGUUGAAAAAUGAAGAAUUCUUUUAUUUAUUCCUUUGAUAAUUCUACUAGAAGUGCAUUUUUUAACAAGAAGACAGUUUCUUUGUUCUUUGUUCAUUAACAUGGUUUUAUUCAUCAUAACUUUGAAUCAAAUUAUCCCUUUCACAAAACUGCUCACGUUGUUUCCUGUUCCUUGGCACGAUGAAGCAAUGCAUAUGUAUGAUGCGUCACCAAGUGUCAUUUUAGGAAAGACCCUGUUAGUGUGCCUAUGGAGAGAAGCGGAGGUAGAGUAUCGUAGCCAUGGAAGCCACUUUACUUUGCAGCCUUUAGCUUCCUGGAGGGAAUCUGGCGAUGGGAAAGGAAUUCCAUUUUGCAUACUAUAUUGUUAGUGUGCAAAUGCUUCACUUAUUUAUAUCAUUCAGUUCAAUCUGGACAUCUUAUUUUAAAAAUGUGUAUCUCAGUCCCUCUUUGAAGAAACCUAUAACAAAAAUAUAUGAAUCAGAGCUCACAAUUUUACAUUAUUUAUAGAUCGUAAUAACGAUCUUGGCAUUUGUAUUUACCUUAUGUUGAGAUGGGAAAACAUUUUGGAAGGUUUUUUGGAGCAAUAGGAGAGGGGAAUGAAGUACACCAUUAAAACAGGAAGGACAUUGCAGUCACCUAAUCAGACAGCCUCAGGACCACCAGCAGAUGGUGCAAUAACCUAUGUAAUAGUAUUAUCAGAAAAUAACCAAGAAAGGCGUCUUUCUUUUUUUGCGAAUUAAUUCUAAAUACACCUAGAAGUAAUGAGUUUAAUGAUGCAUUUAAAGCAAUAAACAUAGACUCUGUAAUAAUUUUGUAAUAAUAAUUAUACAUAAUAUCUGACUUUUUAAAAGAGACUUUAGAACUCUCUGGUUCUAGCCUGCUGUUUAUAGCUGAGGAAAGUAAAUUUCUUAAGUUUAAACUUCAACCACCAGCUAAGGAGUGUUGUGAUGAGCAUUCUAGUCAUAUGACUGAGCCCAUCGCUCAUUGAUUGAACAACAUUAUCCCUCAGCAAAUACCAUGUCUAGUCCAAUAAUCAAAAUUUGGCCAGCAGUGGGGUGGCAUUUGAUCAUCAUCCAAGUUAAGAUUUCUCAGCAGAUGUUUAUCUGCGAAGAGUCCUCUACUUUUAGAACAUUCAUUGUUUUAGGAAAGAGGCAUUUUCUGGGAGAACAUGCUCUCCUGUCCUCCCUGUUUCCAGCAGCUGCAAACUAAUGUGUCAUUUUGCCAAAUGCUUCCUGUAUAGCUUCUGGCUAUUUCUGCAAAAGAGCAAGAGAGAAAGAAAGAGAGAGAGAGAAAGAGGAGAGAUUUUUUUUUUUACACCUUUGCUUUGUACUAGGAAAAUAUUUCUCAUACAGUUAACAAUGGCAUACUAAUGGGAAUGAUUUAAGAAGCCCUAGCUUCUACUCUGUUGCCAGAAUGCCAACGGGAAUGUAUGCUACUAUUAAAAAAAUAGGUAUUGACAGUAGCCUGCACUAUUGCACUGCAGUGAAAGAGUGCGGAAAGCUUCAGUUUAUAAAACAUGCUUGAUGCGUCAAAAAUAAUCACCUUCCCUGAUAACUGAAAAGGACAGAGAAUUAAUACGACAGUCAUGGACUCUUAAAAAUUUAUUUUUGAUAAUUAACAUUAUUUCUUCUUGACGAUGUUGCCAAAAGGCUUGAACACAGUCUGAAGAAGAUGCACGAUCAUUUAUGCUGAAAACAAAAGAAAUUAGAAGCUUUUGUUGCACAGAUAAGAAAAGAUGACAUUUCUGAACACCAAACAUCCUAUCAGAUCUAUCCAUAUUUGUUUUAUGAAUGGGUAACAUUUUCUAUUAGCUAAUGAAAAGAUGGUAGUUUAACAGUGAAAUAAUUUUUAAUGUAUUAUAAUCAGAGAAUACAAGGUAAGCAAAAGUACAACCAAAUGUCUGACUAGAAAAAAUAUAUUAUCUUACGGAAUUAAAAAAUAUUAUUUUAUUAAAUAAAAUAUGGUUUUCUUUUGAAAGUGUCUGGAAAUCAAAAUGUAAAGAUCAGUGCAACCAUUUAAUUGAGUUUUAUUUUGACAAAAGGCAUUCUGUGUAUAUGCAUGUUUUAGAAAUAAGAUGAAAUGCAUAAAUUCAGGUAAAGCAUUUUGCCCACUACCUGUUUCAAAUUAUUGGUUAUUAUUAUUGUUAUUACCAUUAGAAGACAGAAGAAGGGCCAUCCAAUUUUCAGCAUAUACAACUCUUAAGCAGAAGGACCUUUAACAAAAGCUAAGUGUCCAGGCCUUGGCUUACUCAUCAAAGCCAAUGACCACAUCAGAUGUUCCCUGGACGCCUUCUGACGUUUAGCAUUUGGUGAUUUUAUCAUCUUACUCCAAAUAAAGGAAGCAGCAAAACCUCUCUGAUUUUAUUUUGAGAUCUCUGCUUAAAUAACUAUAAAAUGUAUUUGACCACAUUAUGAGAACAUUUGGUAAAAUAAAUUUUAUUUGGAAUGCCAACUUGAAUUGGGAAUUAACUAUUAGAGGAUGUGACUUCCCUGAUGCUUCCCUCAUUACUGGACAGAAUUGGGGCAUCCUAUGGGAUUGACUAGGAGAGCAUAUUUGCUUUUCUUUGUUUGGUCUUUAGUUGGGAAUGAGGGCAAAAUUUAGGGAAGCUGUCAGUUAUUAAUCAAGGGGUGGUCAUUUUGGGCAGAUUGCUCAGAAGUGGAGUUUGUGGGUCAGACUACUAUUUUCUUUUUCUAGAGACAGGGUUUUGCUCUGUCACCUACCCUAGAGUGCCGUGAAUGAUCAUAGCUCAUGGCAGUCUGGAACUCCUGGGUUCAAGUGAUCCUCCCGCCUCGAUCUCCCACAGUGUUGGGAUAACAGGUGUGAGCCACUGCACCUGGCCAAGAGUACCAUGUUCAUAUAUGGUCCAGUUGUAAGCCUUUUGUGUAGUUGCCCUCUUCAUGUAAGGCAGCUCUAGUGGUAGUUACAGAUUUUCUAAAAGGGAGAGAGGUACAGGGGUAAAUUUGUGAAUGGAGACUCUCAGGAAAUUGAUGACCCUGCAUUUGCAUAGAAAACUCCCUAGUUUUUCUUGGCCUAUUUGUUUACAUGGAGCAGCUUCUGAGCAGGACCCACUGGACAAGAGGCUGUUGGAGCCUGUCCUGUGUCCCACAGUCCACAGCUGCAGAGAAUUCUUGUGUUAAAUCCAUCUCAUUCUCAUGGAGGUGCUGACAUUAAUUUUCUAAUUGUAAUCAAAUAGCAAAAAGACUUUAAGAACAGUCAUGAAUUUCAAACCUUAAAUAAAACAUUCUUUUUUUAUGCAAAACUCUCUCCUAAUGAAGUAUGCUACCAAAUAAUUUGCUUUGCAGUUCUCAGGGAAGUUAUUGAGAAAAUGAUGAAUGGACAGAAGGGGGAAAGAAUAGAAAGAUUGGAAAGAGAGAUGGGCUGAAGAGCUUCUGAGUAACUUGAACAAAAUCAAAUACUAGGAAAAUUAAUGAUUAAUCAAACUAAUUGAUUUAUAAGAUGAAUGCUCCACUCAGAAUAAAAAUAAUGAUAUUAAAUGGCAGAAUAACUGCAUUUGAGGUUAUUGAAAGGAAAGAAAAUCUCUGCAGUGACUGGAGUUAAUGACUUGCUCCUGCCCUGCUAUCAACUUCCUUCAUUCGGAAUAUAUAUAUUUUCUCUCUCUCUCUUCCUCCCAUGGAAUAUUAAUAUCUAUAUGACGAUUGGAUUUGCUCACAAAUCAUAAUAAAGCAAAAUUAUGAUUUGAAUAUUACUUCCAUAUUUUGAAUACUCCCCGAAGUGCCUUUUGAAUGAUUAGAGUGAUUUUUCAUUUAGUGCAUGAAGACACUGAGUUAAAAAUGAAGGCUGUAUACACAGCCCCUAAAUGCAUAAUAUCAUUUUACAUUUUUAUGAAGAUGUUCAUCUGAAGCUUUCAAAGCCCAUUGCUGAUUUAAGGUCGUUCACAUUCAGCCAUGCAGCUGCUCUGAAGACACAGGAACUGUGUAGCUCCCUAUGGGGAAUGUCAAGGACUGAAAGGUCUAAGAUGUUACCCUACUUGCAACCAACAAGUUAUGCAGCCACAGUUUUAUGGAUGCUGUCAAAAGGCAUGACACUCCUGGGUAAGAGACAGAAGACUUUACUACUCGUGGUGUAGCAGCCAGCUGGAGCAUCUUGUUUUUUGAGUUAAUGCCACUUGUCCCCUAAGUCCCACAGGUAAGGAUACGAAUUUUCCCAGAUGGAAGCUUAGAAGCAUGCAUGCAUGGGGUGGUAAUGCUGGAGAGGACCUCUGAACUUGGAGCUCAGAGCUUUAACAGUGGUUGGAAAGUGUAUCUUUCACCUGCUCUAGAAAGAGACAUGGAGGGAGUCUCCUUCAUAAAAGACCUUUCAUACUGUUUGGUAUUCAAAUACCCUUGGAAAGAGGGGCUGAGACACAGGGUGGCCAGUGCCUCUGCUCACAACAUGUACCCAAAUCCAGAGGCACAUGAAAAAUUAUCUUCCAAAACAAUGGUGAACUUUCCCAUAAGCGCACCACUCCACUAGCUACUGUGAUGAAUCUGUUCAAUUAUUCCCUCUCUAGCAUGCAAUUUAGCAUGAGGGCAGCCUGCAGUGGUGACCUAAGGUAUGACACCCCACCCCCAAUCCUAGAUGCAGCCAAUGGCAAACAGCAUGAACUGGGAGGCGGCCGACCAUCGCUUACGCCUCUGCUUCGUGCACGUGUUUUCUACUUUUCUUGCACUGUAAAGGCAGAGGUUGCAUCAAUACCCUUAUGGCCUGCAAAGCCCAAAAUAAUUACUGGCUGACUCUUCUCAGUGAACAUUUGCUAACCCUGUCACAAACCAUCAGGUUCUACCGCAGAUUGCCCUGUGGCUCUCGUUAGGUUUCUGUGUGGACGUUUCCACGUGGUCUGAGGCAUUCAUCCAAGAAGAGCAUGGUGUGUUAGUGACUGCACAGAUUCUGCCUUGGCCCAAAAAGAGAACAUCCAGGGCAGUCCUGUCAUCUGUAACAAUGCUGGCCAGUGAGUUGAGGCUGACCUGAAUGCUGUCCUGGGCUGAGAUGGUGUCACUGAUCACUUCAGCCGAAGAUGGGAAAUUUCUUAGCACCUGGUAUGAUUUGCUGACUUCCAUGGUCAGGAUAAGGGGUCUCAGGAUGCAUGGAAAUACCACGCUUCUCUGGGAAGCUUCCCUGAGUUACCAAGGGAUCCUCAUGUCUGAGAGACCUCCACUGUCAUCUGAGGGUCACAUGGACUUUCCUGCAAUGCUUCAAGGUCUCCUGUGAUAACCCCUAAGAUGGAACUCCCAGUGUUUUGGGGAGGUAGACUGUGGCAUGCAGUUUUGACAAGUGCUCAGUAGCAAGACAAUGGCUGCUUUUCAGAAGUGCACCUGGCAAGCCCAGCACCACCUGGGCACCUCUGAGUGAGGGCUGCCUCACUUUGUCAGAAGAUCCUGUUGACGAAAACUGCCAGUUUUAGCUCAAGGGGAAUAACUCAAGGAAUCACUGGGGUUGGGGAGCCCCAAAGGUAGCAGGUGGGCCACAGCUUACUGGACUUUCCAACACAGCUUGUUGAUUUGAGCUCCUCUAAAAGGAUGUUUAUUUGUGCUUUGAUCAAUAGAAAAGGCAUGAAGGAUGCCCAAGCUAGGCACAUGCAGUCUGCAAUACCCAGAGUUCAGGAAGGGACUGGGCUCCUCUCCAGGCUCUGGUGGUGAUUUGGGGGAGAGCAGGCAGCAGAGGGACAGCUGUGUUUAGUCUCAUGUCGGUGGGGAUAUGGAGAGUUUAAUGGCUCUCAUUUCACCCACACGAUGCGAAGAAACAUUACCUGGUCAUAAAGCCCCUAAAUUGUAUGUGGUUUCCCCUCUAACAGAGGUGUUAAUAAUCCUAUAAUCAGGGCCACUGAGGCAAAGGCUUCUGACUUCCUGACCUAUAGUGGGAACUUUGGGCAUAGUGGGAAGGAGGCACUUGCAUUGAGCCCUGACCUACACACCAGGAACAUGUGGCUGAGGGGGUUCCUCCUGCUGGUCCUGCUCUAACUGUGGCUCUUACUGAUGGAAAGGCAGCACUUGGAAGUGGAAAGCACAAGUGUGGAACAUUUCAAUUCCUGCUGUAUGCUGCAGAAACUACCACAGGGCCCCAAGUACCCUCCUACCCUUCCCCACUAAGCACCCCCUUAACUUCAUCACCUGAAUUUGGGCUCCCAUAGAACAUGAUGGGUGGAGACCAGAGAGUUUUUAUCCAACAGAACCAGGCAAGCUUGAGGCUCACCUUCCCAUUCCCCAGCAUAUUCCGCUGGGUAAGUGUAUGCUUCAGUCCCUCUUGGGGACCCAGAGACUUGGGCACCAUCCUUAAUCAUUUAUGCCUGAGGUUGCAAUUUUUUGAAUUUGAAAAAUCAGACCUGGGCGAUGACCUUGAGAAGUAGUUUACAAACAACUCUCACAUGCUUAGCAUUCCAAUAAUGGAACACUAGGCAUACAUUGAUAGGGUGCUUUAAAUGCAAUUGAUACUCUGCAAGGAUUCAUUAAAUAAGUAGAGAAUGACUUUAAAUAUUUACCCAUCUAACAAAGAUGCAUGACUAAGGGCAGAUGUUUUGCACUUUUGUCUCUGCAGACGGUGCAGUUGGGUUUAGCUUGGUCAUCUUCUUCUUAGACUGGCUGCUGGUGACAGUUUAUUGAACCAAUAUGGUAAAGUGGUGUCCUUGUCUGUGUGCUUUGGGGUCCACAGCCCUCUUUAACAGCCUGUUCUAAGGUUCUCAACCAUGUCACCAUCUAGCUAACAUUUCAGUAGGUGAAACCGCAGGAAGGCUUAAGAACCAUGUUGCCAUGUCCGCAUCCCUAUUCCUGAUUCUUUUCGCAGACGUAGACCUGCAAUCUUAUGUCUCUAUCCUUACUUUCAACUGGUUUUCUCUUUUUCUUCUCCUUUUUCCUGACCUCCUUUAUGAUUUUCAUUUCUCCACUGUCUGAAUAUACCAAACCAUCCUUUUGCUUCCUCUUUUCUCUUCAUUAAUUAUUCCAGGGGCUCUUUUUAAAUUUUAAUUAGGAAGAUUUAUUAUUUUAACAUGCUUUAUAAAGUUAGUGGCAUUAAGGAAUUAAUGUCCUUGAAAACUCAUACAUGUUCAUCUACUAGAACCCUCUAAAUCCAAGGAGCAAGAACAUGCCAUCUCUGAGUGUCCGCAGGAACAAUACCAGAUCGUAC